rnacentral:lncRNA from 1 species
UGAUCCUCAGGCUGUUUAUUGGCAUCUCCCUCGGCUCAGCCUGGCUCAGCAGUAGGCACUGCAGGGGUUUGCUAUGCAGAGACCACCAAAACAGCCCCAGACCCCCCUGGGCAUCACCACCCAUCGCAUGUUCCUUGUGCUCCCUAUGCACAAAACCCCAUUAAGAGACCCCAAACCACCAGCAAUACAGAGGGGGGGGCUCUGGCUGCUGCAUCGCCCCAUCUGAGCCUCAUCCGGGGUGCAAAAUCAGGGGGGGUCAUCAGCACCAUGUGCACCCCGGUGGGGCACUGCUGGGGUUCAAGUCCUGGGCACCAACGAAAGGAGGAAUCACUUGUACCCUGGGUUCCUCGCACGGUGGGUGCCCCCCAAAGGCUGGGGUCUCAUAUCCAGAGGUUUUGAGUUGGGGUCUCUCUGUGUCACCAGCACUUGUCCCCACGUCCUGGGGGGACCACAAGCAGAGGGGCUGGGGUUUGGCACGGUGAGAUCCCAGCACCCCACAGGGACCCCAGCACAGCAGAUUCCAAGGGCAAAGUCCGGUGCAAUCCUGCCGGCACGCCGAGCAUUCCCACCCCUCCUCGGCUGAGCAAUCCGUCACACAGACACAGCUUUGGCCAAAACAAGGAGCUGGGCUCUGCUCCGCAGGGAAGGCGCUUGGCAUCCUGCUCCGGCAAAGUGAAACACCCGCCGUGGCACCGAGCCCCGGGGCCCUUCGGCCUCUUCCUCCUCCUCCUCCUCCUCCUCGCUGCUUUAUUCCUUAAUUCCUCAGGUUUUCCUUUAUUUUUUUCCUUUUUUUUUUUGUUUAAUAUGUAUUUUUCUCUCUCCUGUGUUUUGCUUCUGUUUAAAUAUCAAACGAAAGAAGAAAACCCGGCGAUGGGAGCUCUGGAGCCGGGGGCCAGGCUGCUGGGCGGGCGGUACAGGGUCCCGGGCUGGCUGGGGGGGUUGCCGGGGGUCUGGGGGGUGGGAGUCCUGCUGGCUUUGGGCCGGAAGAGGCUGCCCUGCUGCGUGGAGGUGCUGUUGGACAGGGCUGCGGGGUCGGG